rnacentral:lncRNA from 1 species
UUAAAAUGGGAUUGUAAGCCUCUGUGACAAAGGGUACAGCCCCAUUAAAUCCCAUUAUCCUUCCAAGUCUUCUGUCUUCCGGCAGCAAGCAAGAAACCAGCAUGUACUCCCUCCUUACGGGCGUAAGUCCUUGGGACGGCGCCCGCGACAUUGCUCCCCUUUCAGAGCGUCGCCAUCACUGAAGCCCCCAUCGAGCUCAUGCAGACCGAGCUCAGAAAUCCGAGCGCAAAACACCUAAAAAAUCAAGCCAAAGAAGGCCGGUGCUGAACCAAGUCCUGAGGGACUUCGAAGCUCGAGAGCUAUCAAAAUAUCUCCAAAAGGUACAGGACGCCACUUUGGCUUCAAAUAAAUUCAAUAUUUUAUCUAUUUUCAGGUUAGCCAACGAGCUCGGCUCGUUCUCCUACCCUGACCACGGUCAGGAUGCCCUGAGACGUCAGGAUGCCCCAAUAUAUUGGGAUGCCCUGCCGCAACGGGAUGCCCCGAUCCGUCGGGAUGGCCCGAGACGUCGGGAUAUGAGUUAGCGGUCCUCUCUGACCGGACGAGCUCGGCUCGUGCUCCAUCGGCUUCCACCGUCGAGCUCGGCUCGUGCUCCCCGANNN